GGUAACUCAGCCUCUCCACCAUCCGAAGGCCCUCCUCUUAGCUGUGCUCAUUGGUCUCAGGGUUGAAAAAACUACUCUAGGAUGUGGUUGGAUAAACGCAUGUUGUUCAGCAGAGGAUGUUAACCUUUAAAGUGCUGAUACGUUUUGUUUUAUUUCCUUUUUUUUAACUCAAAUCACUGUCUUUUUAAGAAGUCUCUGAAAUCAUCUCCCUUGACAUGGCAAGCGUAACGUGCCUUAAGUCUCCAUCUCGUGGAACAUCUACUUGAGUAGCAGUUGCUAUGUGUUGCUGUUGGCUUUUAAGGAUCAUCUCUGUUGUUUCUCUUCUUUCUUUUUCCUUUUAUUUUUCUCCUUUUUUCCUUCUGACACGUGGUUUUUCAAAGAGGUUUGGCAAACACCAGAGCCAUCAAGGCUGGGGCAGGCCUUCCAGCCUUCUCUCCCUGAUGCCAUUGACGAGAAUACCUGAAGUGCUCCUCUCCACUCUGGCAAGGUGCACAGUUUGACUUGUCUGCUUCUCUGACUGCAGCUCUGCAGCCCUUUUCCUGCCUGUGGGAUGCUUCCUCCAGCUCUACCUGUGCAUGGUUACCGGCCCUGGCUUCAGAGCAAGGAGAAGAUGGUUAAGAACAACAACAAGGACUUGAAUGGCUGUGAGAAGUUUCUUACAGCACCAGCAAAGAGCUAAGAAUCAACUUUUAAAGUCUGCCUACAGAGAAAGGUCAGAAAGUUGGGUUAAGGCUGUGCAUGGGAGCAGCACUUUGCGCAUGGUUACAUCGUAGACCAGAGAACCAGGGAUCCAAACAGUUCAUCUCUCCUUCAGCCAGCUGGCUGGGACAUGUCAGCUGCUCUGAAACUCAGCUCACAGCCUCAUAAAACGGUGACUGGAAUCCUGCCUGCCUGCAACACUGCAUCCCCAACUCUACCCUGAAGGAAAGCAUCUUCCAAGCUGAACUGAGUGAAGAUGACUCUUCAUGAGACAGAAGGAGACAAUUUUCCAUUGGUACACCUGAAGAAAACAAGGACUGAGAUGGAAUCUGGAUUGAGUGGAAGCUCAUUUGCUUUUACCACUGUCUAUUUUUAAGCCUGGCUGCAAAGCAUUUCUCUCUGAAAGACCGUGCUCGCUCUCUUGGCUCUCUUGAAUUAGAGGCAGCAGUAGAAUGGCAAUGAUCCACCUCCCUUUGAGCAUCCCUGCACGGUGCGGCGGUAAAAGCAGCUUAAUGUUCCAUGGGGCUCUGGCUGAGCACAGCAAAUAGCAAAGGUAAUGCGACGUUCCUGCUUGGGAGGAACAUUGAGAGGGGGGAAAAAUACAGAAUGACCUUUUUAUCUGUGAAAGUGAAUGGCAAUGGGAUGCAUGGGUAACUGGAACCCAAGAGGCAGAGGGGCCUUGGCCUGGUUAUACCUCUUGGUACAGAGCAGAAGGCCACAGGGUAGGGGUGUUGCCUUGUGUCCAUGUCCCCCUACUCUGCCUUAGCCAGGAGCAAGAACACAACACUGCUAAUGUGGCUGCAUGAUUUCUGGAGUGCUCAUUUUUGGUUACCUCUGCAGGUGGAGCGAAUGCGUAAUGACUUUGCAGACAGAUGGUAUAAAAAUAGAGCUCGGUUUACUGUUUAUCCUGCUAGACUCAGGUUGGGGGUAGAAAGUCAUAAAAGUCAAAGCUAUUUGUCAAUCUGCAUUCCCUGGAAUGGUGUAGAGGACCCCAAAAGGGGAAAAAGUCAUAGGGAAGUUCAUUUAAUUUCUUGAGCGCUGCAUUCUUCAUACAAGACCUCUCAGGGUGAAGAAUCCAUUGCAUUUAUGACAACCACUACCGAAAUCUGCUUUCUGCUGUGGUUUUGCCAGGAAGGAAUGCUUCCCAAGAUGACAGAGACAGUAACUGCAUCUCCUUUUGGAACAUGAAAAGCAGAUCGUGGCAAGGCUCAAGAUACCAGUGACCAUUUGGAUCCUGGAGAGAAGCCCAAUUGCUUCAUUAAAGAAGAGUUGUCACAUGCUUGUUUCUUAAAUCCUGCUAAAUACCUGCUUAGCAGCGUUAUUGACAGGCUUUUCUCAUGAACACUGAGCUGUUAAGCUGCUCCUAGUUUACAGCAAGAGGUUAAAGGAUUUUUUCAAAGCUCCCAAUGAAAGCCUUACUAACUGGAUUAACCGCUAACAUGGAUUCAGGCUUUGAGUCAGAUUAACCCCAGCUGCUCAAAGUAGGUUCCUCUUGUUGGUUUUCUUCUCCCCUUUUUCUUCCUUUUUUCCCCCCUCUCAGCUUUAACCUCUUUGUUUGUCAGGAAUAAUGGAAGUAAAACAGUCUCGUGUGCUUGAGCAGGGGAACACUGUGUGCUCCCAGGACUGGAAGGAACUGGGUUGCAGCUCCAGGAUGUGAAAUGAGACUGAAGCAGAGGCUUCACAGCACCAGAGACCUGCAGUUAAUCUCAUUUAGGCUGUACUUAACUAUGUAUUUCUUCAGCAUCUGAGGAGGACUUUCACAUUAUCUGUUCUGCUGAUUAUUUCUGCUAUUGCACUGGCUUCUGAGCUUGCUACAGUCAGACUAUCCACUACCUCAUUUGGAGGUGCUUUUUCCCACUCACUACUGAGCAAAGGCAACGUCCCAGAGCUGCUUUCUGAAGUCAGAAUCUGUUUCAACUCAUUCCACAGUAGCUGCAGUGCAAGAAUCUGUUAGGAAGACUAAAGGAUGAUAGUGUAGGAAUGGAAGGAGCAGGGAACACCGUGUGGGCUCUCGUGCAUGACCAAACUGGCAUGCACAUUGAUUCCCAGCCCAGAGGAGGGAUGGAGCCAGCUCUUCUACUGUUUUUGUGUCAUCUGCUCAUUGCACCAUUCAGCCCUCUCAAUCAUCUUUUUGUCCCAGCUCACAUAGGCUGAGUGCUGACCAUGUGAAGCUCAACACAUGGGGGUCAGGGCAAGGAAUCACAGUGCUUGGCUGGUCCCAGGUAGUGAGCCUUCAGCUGGGGCACUUCAGCAGUGCUGGCAUGUCCCUGGGACAGAGCUGUCUCUCUCACUUAAACCAAAAUAUAAGGCACCCCUGUGCAGUACACUUAUUCCAUUUGAUAGCAGCUGAUGGAUUUAUCACCUACAAAUGCAUCCAGGGCCUCUUGCUCCGCUCUGUGGCUAUCCCCAUCUCACACUCUUUCAGCUCAUUGAGCUGACCCCAUUUUCUCAUUCCCCUUGAAUGUUGAUCAGCUCUCCUGUGCUUUUUUGUGCGUGCUUCUUAAUCUCACAUCCUUUGACUGCCUUUAUCCCAGUCUAAUCCAUUUGUAUCUGAAUCACUGGCCCUCAUUUCUGAUUUCCCCUCCACCUCCUCACCACAGGUUUCUCUAAUUUUCCAGCCCAUCAUCUCCCUUCCAUCCCUGAGGGCAGCUCCUCCUCUCCCCUCCAGCAUACCAGGGCCCCUGGCUCUGCCCCAAACCUCUGUCAGCUGCUCAGCAUCAGCCUGGUCCUGGCUCAUUGCUGCCAGGUGGUUCCCUCACAGAUUUCCUUUAUCAUUUUCCUCCCAGCCCUCACUACACAUCCCUUAGGGGAACCUGUGUCACUCAUUCUGUGUGUUCCGUCAGCAAGUACCGACUUCUUCAAAGCAAUCACUCCAGGUGUGUGACACAGUUAACGCUGUCACCCAGAGGCUCUGCAGGACCUUUUCCAAAGAUGAUAAAAGUAAGGAUUCCUAGCCCUGUGGCCUGCCCUGAGACUGGCUAAAGAAAAGGGAGAAAAUAAAAUCUGUGAAAUAAAAAGAAUGGAAAGAAAGAAAGAAUGCAGUUAUGGGAUGUGAAGAAAGGUCACCCUCUUGGAUUUAGUCUGGUGGUUGGGAAGUGUUUUGGGCAGAUGCUCAGGACUGUGAUACUUCAGAGUUCAUCUGAACUCUCACCUGUCAUCUCCAUGGGAAGGAUGGGGCAGACCUAUGCCAUCUGAAAUGGGCUGUGGACACCCCUCUGCCUCUGUAGGCACAGGGUUGUGAGUCAAACACUUGCUUGGGUAAAGCAGAUCUUGUGCCAUCAUACCCCAGGACUCAGCUGUGCCCAUAGGAUGGGGCCAAUGGACUUGGAACAGGACUGACCGGCUUAGGGGGCCAGUUUUCCUUUUGUCCCUUUCCCCAAACCUGGUUUAAAUUAGUACUUUAUGUAUGUCAUUUAGUCAGCUUGUGAUAUUUAAUAGUUAAGAGCUGUCUGUCAGGUAUUAUCAGUUUGUUUUUCAGCAUGUAAUGGACAGGGUAGCAAGCGCUAAUAGGCAGCUCUCUCUGACCAUUUUCAGCAGUCACCUUGCCUACUUCUCGCUGACACUGUUCUUACAGUAAUUAAUGUGUUGGCACAUUACUGGGAGCCUUGUCAAUGAAUUAAUCUCCAUGCGGAGGGAGCAGCAGAACACAGGUUCCUCUUGUUGUCUCUGGCAAACAGGAGCUGCAGACAGGGAGGGGGCUGUGAGAAGAGCCCCUGCUCUGGGGGUGCCUGAAACUAUGUGCUCUGCAUAUGUCUGGUUUUGUCCUUUGAGUUUUCAUGUCUGAUUAGAGUUUCUGAGGGGAUUAUUUUGCCUGGUGAGGGAGGGCAAUUUGUUAUUAACUUGAUGCUACAAGAGCAGAGAAGAGGUUCAGCUCCAUUAGUUAUGUGAAGGCAUCUAUGUGCAAGUAUUUUGUCCAAGUAAUAGAAUAAAGGUGAUGUCUAGGAGGAUGAUCAGCCCCAGGGGCUUGUUCUUGAUAAAUUGUAAUUCAUGUUUGGUCAUAUUCUGGGCCAGAGGCUGGACGUGAAACAAUGAGGUAUAACAGUGCUUCUCGGUAGGGCUCCAAACAAGAGCUUUAGUAACCGGAAGGGAGCAGGCAGCCAUAGGGUUAGCAGGGGAGCACUUUAUUCCUCCUCCGAGGCUCAGCAGGUUGCAGGCACCCCUGUGGCCUCGCACUGCCAUCUUUCUGUUCUGCAUCCCUUGUAAUACUUGGACACUCAGCAACCUGCGUAGCUCCUGGCUCUCUGUGACCGUGAGUCACUCAGCUGACCUGGUGCUGCUCCCAUUCUGCAGUGUUUUGGUGCUUGUUGAAGCCUCUCAGUGAACUUCACUAAGAUGAAGGAGUGAGGAUCUGUGAAGUUGUCUCCAGUGUGAACAAAGAAGAAAACAUGAAAAUGAAGCAUUUGUGGUUACAGAUACAGAGCUCUGCCUUGAGAGUGUACUGGGAUCUGAGUCUUCAUUGCCUUCCUUGAGCCAUCUCCUGGCUGAGAAGGGAAUCCCCCAGGCCGUUCAUUUUCUGAGAUCAUCCAGGUGCAUCAGAGCGUUUCCAAGACAAUUUGUCAUUAUUUCAAGGUCUGACUGCCUGCAGUAACUGAGGGCAGUGCUGCUGGGUGCUAGUCCUUUUGUGUACAGGUUUGUUUCACUCACCUCCAACCCCGAGAAUCAGAGAGACUUCCACAGGGUUCCUCCAUUUUCAGUGCUUUAGACUGAAUUGUUUUCUAUACCAUUUUUUCAGCCCCACUUUUAUUAACAUAGAAUGACACUAAAAUGUCAGCUGGAGGAGCGCAUGAAUCCCUUUCUUACACCUAAGGACAUUAUUAUGGUCAGUGAUGCAGCUAACACACACAUGUCCAGCCCAGCAUGGAUACGGUGCCUGUAUUGCUCCGCUGAACUGCUAAACUAUUUUUGGCUCACUUAAGUACUUACGAACUGCUACAAUAAACUGACCAGGUUUAUUUUUCAGAGCUGAAAGAUUUCCAUUGCCUUUUCCUUCAUGUUCCAGAAUCCCCAGAGGUUUGUCAUCAAGCAUCCUCAUUUGUGACCCCCAAGGAAAAGCUCUGAACACCUGGAAACCCAAGCAGCAUCAGCAAAGCACAGUGCAGUUCUUGUGCUCAUCAGCCCAUAAGAGAAGCUGACUGAAGACUGUGGUGACUGGACCACAACUGCCCCAGCGCAUUUAACUUCAAGAGAGAGUCAGCUGUUGUGUCAGCAUUCUAGCUAUACCUUGCAUCAGCAAGUCUCAAAGCUGGCAUUUUGAAUCAGUCCCUGCUGCUGCUUGCUCUGUUGCUCUGUUCCACUGUGGCAGUCCUGACAUUUUCGUGCUUCUCUUCACAGUGCAGCAGCCUGAAUUGUGCUUAAGUGGGCAGAUUAAGGGAAUAAGGUAGGCUAUGUGGUUUUUUUUCUGUGUGUUGGUGGGAUUCAGAACUUGUGAGAGCUCCAUGAGGUGCAAAUUUGCUCCUGUGACUUGGUGCAACGCAGAUUUUCCUCCGUGAGCUCAGACUUUCUGACCCAGCUUUUGCAGUCCUUGAUGUGAGGUACUGAAGGGAUGCAGCGUUUCACAGGGCAUGCUGCAACCAUCAGCAGAAGUGUAAUUGGCUCUUCCCACGUGGCUGCCAUCACAAGCUUCGUAGCAGAUAGAAAAUGAGAAACUAAUCCUUGUGCUGGAACCACUUUGGCUCUACAUUCAAUGUGUUGGAGGCAACCACUUUGCUGCAUGCUGACCUCCUGCAUAUAGCCAUGGUGUGGGCCCCACCUCACCCCACUGUGCAAGAAGACUGUUAAUGUUGAGGAUUGCCUCCAGAAGCCACAUCCAGAAAGUGUUUAUGCUUCCUUUGCUGAGUAAUGAGGGCUGUACAUCCCAAACUGGGACAGAGAGAUAUGAACGCGUGGCACAAGGAGACCUCGUGACAUGAGAAACAGGAGAUACACGGUUUUAAUAUUUGCUGAAGCCCACGGGCCUUAACCUAAAUAAGCUGCAGAGAGUCAGACCCAGAGAAGAGUUGCUGUGAUUUAAUUAAACUUGGUGACAUCUGGAAGAAAAAUUGUGAAGCUGACACCCAGGCAUUCGAUCUGAAUGUCUAUCAGCCUUGGAUAUCCCAAAUGCACUAGAAGGAAAUGCAGUAACUGCAUUGACAUACCCCAGAGAAAAAUGGCAGAACAUACACAGCAAAGAUACAGAGAAGAGUCCAUAGUGACAAUGAGAGCAAUGUCUCCACUAUGGAGAACAAAAGCCUAUUGCAGACUUCAAGUUCUUCUCUCUGUGGGCAGUGGAAAGGGUGAGAUAUUGCAUUUGGGAUGGCUAUCCCGGGUCAUCUGAGCUGGGUGGAAGAGGAAAUUUGGAGGGCAGUUUGGAAGAGUGGCUGGUGAGAUGUGAGCCAUCAUAGGCAGAUGAAUUCAUAGGCAGGACUGUUUAUAGAAUGACUUUGAAAGAAUGGUCCAACCAACUUCAUGCAUUUAUGUAAAUCUGUGCUACAAAGUGAAGAGCAGAAGAAAGCUAAAAUUUGCAUGGGCUGUUUUUCUGCUCUUUCCCAACUUUAUUUUAUUUAUUAAACCACUCUGAAUUACACCUUCCAAAGGACAUUUUUCUCCUUGUUGUUUAUUAUACCUCCAUCAGCCUUGAAAUGGGAGCUGCAGGCAGCUUGAUAAAUGGAUUGAAAAGCUGCUUCUGCCAGAAUCAAACAAACGAACAGAACCCCAAUAUCCAUAAAACCUUCUGUUUUAGAAAUGCUAAAAUAAGCACUAUUUCCCUCUGAGCUGCACUGAAGAAUGAUGUGCCCAUAUCCCUCGCUGUUACAGGGUUUUUUCACUUGGUUGUGUCCAGAGCAGAAGUUCAUGCCUGCAUCAUGGACUCAGCCUGUAGCAAUGGGAACAUAAGCAGCUGGACUAUGAUGGGGAAGAGUGAGACAGUUCUAGGAAGGCUGAGCAAGUCUUGACUUUGACUCUGAAAUGCGCCAGGCAAAUCAAUGGAGCAAAUCAGACAAGACAUGAAAGACUGGAUCCUGCUUCCAUCAUGUUCCACCAUUGGAUUGGCCUGGUAACAAGCUACGACUUCAUCUACUUUGGUAUGUUGGUAAAGAAAUGGUAUGAAAAGCAGCACAUUCAAGCCAGAAAGAGGACAGAAAAGAGGACUGCAGAAGGGUCCAGAAUACUUAACAGUCAGCAAAGCGAACAGGUAACUAGAUCUGGGAGGAAAUGUUGCAGGUCUCUGGGGAAGCUGAGUUAUGUCAUAUUAGCCAAGUCCAUCCACAUUCAAGGAAACCCUCUGCCUAUAUUAUUUCCCUAGCACCAAGCCAACUAACAGAAACUGUAAGUUUGUAUGCAUUUAAAUAAACAAUAACCAUAUCUCCA